AUCUACCGGUAUCUGGUGCAAGGGAAGAGAAGGGGUAUUUUUCCUGGAAGGAAAGCAAUACAUAGCUGACAGUCAAGGAGAACCUUGAAGGGUAGUUGGCUGCUCCACUGCAUGUGUUCUUUCUUGGCACAUAUUCAGGGUUGUGCCAUCGCGUCCUGAGUAAGCAUCCAAGUUGCUCUGUGUUGCUUCCAGUUUCGUAUUUCCUACCAUUCACUGGUGGUUGGAGUUUAAGCUCCAUGCUGGUGUGCAGAAAGGGUAUCGUCUACAACAAAACCUUGUUCACGGUUGAGUGUCACAACGGGAGCGAGCAUAAGAAGCUAGGCGGAGCUGUAUGUAGUAUGUGCAUUUAUGGACCUCAAUCACUUCGGCACGGCUCGCACGGAGAUCUGGACACCUCUAUCUACCUGACGGUGAUUGCGCCUUGAAAGAAUAUUCAAAAUCGAGGUUAUCCGGCGAGCUGCUCAUUCAAUUCAACAAUGGGCGUUCCUCCUCCCUAUGGAGCAGCGGGAGGAUAUGGUUACUGGAUGCAACCGGAUGCUACUGGUUGCUCAGGACUUCUUUUUCCAGGCUACUGGGUGGCGGCAUCUUAAUAGAAUAGCAAAUGCAUAGCUCUUCUGUUAGCCAUAUUUUCGUCUGGUUGUUCUUUGUUGCGAUUCUAGCUUCUCCGUGAUUGUAAUAAGUGAUGUUAUACUAAGACUUGAUAUUUGGUUUUUAAUAAAAGAAGC